GACGAACGCUGGCGGCGUGCCUAAUACAUGCAAGUCGAACGCUUUUUCUUUCACCGGAGCUUGCUCCAUCGAAAGAAAAAGAGUGGCGAACGGGUGAGUAACACGUGGGUAACCUGCCCAUCAGAAGGGGAUAACACUUGGAAACAGGUGCUAAUACCGUAUAACACUAUUUUCCGCAUGGAAGAAAGUUGAUAGGCGCUUUUGCGUCACUGAUGGAUGGACACGCGGUGCAUUAGCUAGUCGGUGAGGUAACGGCUCACCAAGGCAACGAUGCAUAGCCGACCUGAGAGGGUGAUCGGCCACACUGGGACUGAGACACGGCCCAGACUCCUACGGGAGGCAGCAGUAGGGAAUCUUCGGCAAUGGACGAAAGUCUGACCGAGCAACGCCGCGUGAGUGAAGAAGGUUUUCGGAUCGUAAAACUCUGUUGUUAGAGAAGAACAAGGAUGAGAGUAAAAUGUUCAUCCCUUGACGGUAUCUAACCAGAAAGCCACGGCUAACUACGUGCCAGCAGCCGCAGUAA
rnacentral:rRNA from 1 species